AGCGAACGCUGGCGGCAGGCCUAACACAUGCAAGUCGAACGAAGUCUUCGGACUUAGUGGCGGACGGGUGAGCAACACGUGGGAACGUGCCUUUAGGUUCGGAAUAACUCAGGGAAACUUGUGCUAAUACCGAAUGUGCCCUUCGGGGGAAAGAUUUAUCGCCUUUAGAGCGGCCCGCGUCUGAUUAGCUAGUUGGUGAGGUAAAGGCUCACCAAGGCGACGAUCAGUAGCUGGUCUGAGAGGAUGAUCAGCCACAUUGGGACUGAGACACGGCCCAAACUCCUACGGGAGGCAGCAGUGGGGAAGCUUGCGCAAUGGGCGAAAGCCUGACGCAGCCAUGCCGCGUGAAUGAUGAAGGUCUUGGGAUUGUAAAAUUCUUUCACCGGGGACGAUAAUGACGGUACCCGGAGAAGCAGCCCCGGCUAACUUCGUGCCAGCCGCCGCCGUAACAC
rnacentral:rRNA from 1 species